UUUAGGAUACGAAAUUAUGUUUUGUUAUUCACCUCGACAAUCAUAACGAUUGUUCUCUUGGGAAAACGAUGUGUCUCCUUUGGAUGGAUUCCAUCUCUGGUAAUCCGAUACUAACCAAAUUCGGGAAUUUUUCCAUCCAGAUUCGGGUAACGCGCAUUUUCCAACCAGAUUCGGGUAAAAUUCCAACCAGAUUCGGAAACUUUUUAUUUUUCGACCAGAUCCGACAAAGCUAAUUUUCCUUUAUUAUUCCUGGUUACCCAUUCAGGUGCUUCCAGUCACUGCUCUUUUCAACCAUAUUCGGAUUUCUUGCGCUUUCAACAGACGAGAAUCAAGUGCUUGAUUUUUUUAGAUAAUUAUGAAGCGAAACAGGUGCUCAUUGAAAGAAAUUAUGCGAGACGCUGAAGAAAAGUGUAUAAAUGGCGAAAGGAUCAGUAUAAUCUCAAAGUUGACGGGAAAACAGAAUCGAGAAAUUAUGAAAUUUUCGGAAUUGAUUCAAUUGUUGCCUCGGGUAAUGAAGAAGAUGUAGGAGAGAGGAACAGUGACGAUGGAACUUUUUUGACUGACAGAAGUGAAUUGAAUGAGAUUGAAGAAGCAGAGACACGAAACGCCUGGAGGUGUCUAAGUAAUCAAGAUUUGCAGAGAAUCUACUUUCUCGUUACCACUACACCCUCAGCUGUGGUCUUCACUCACGAUAUCUGAUAAACCCCAGACACCAAAUGUCUCUCUUCCAUCACGCUUAUCAAGAAUCCCAAUCAAAUUACUAUCACAAUGCAUCACAGUUGGUGGAAUAGCGCCCAGCGACCUGUCGGAUCUCGUUGACGUUUUGUUCAAAAGACACGCUACAUAUAUGUUCGAGAACGCACGAAAAGCCAAUAAAAAAUCGAAGAACAAAAUCAUGGAUGAACCCGGAACGCCAAAGGUCUACGAACAAAACUCGCCUACACCCUCUCCAAACUCGCCUCUCAACACUGACAGAGGGUAGGCAAUGUGAAAUCCGACAAUUAUAAACAUUUUUUUGGCUCCUAAAUUUUUGACCAAAUUCGCCAUCUUUCUAGUUAUUCAUGUUUUUUGGGUGCCUCAAAUUUUUCCCGGUUU
rnacentral:lncRNA from 14 species